GACGAACGCUGGCGGCGUGCCUAAUACAUGCAAGUUGAGCGCUGAAGGUUGGUACUUGUACCAACUGGAUGAGCAGCGAACGGGUGAGUAACGCGUGGGGAAUCUGCCUUUGAGCGGGGGACAACAUUUGGAAACGAAUGCUAAUACCGCAUAAAAACUUUAAACACAAGUUUUAAGUUUGAAAGAUGCAAUUGCAUCACUCAAAGAUGAUCCCGCGUUGUAUUAGCUAGUUGGUGAGGUCAAGGCUCACCAAGGCGAUGAUACAUAGCCGACCUGAGAGGGUGAUCGGCCACAUUGGGACUGAGACACGGCCCAAACUCCUACGGGAGGCAGCAGUAGGGAAUCUUCGGCAAUGGACGAAAGUCUGACCGAGCAACGCCGCGUGAGUGAAGAAGGUUUUCGGAUCGUAAAACUCUGUUGGUAGAGAAGAACGUUGGUGAGAGUGGAAAGCUCAUCAAGUGACGGUAACUACCCAGAAAGGGACGGCUAACUACGUG
rnacentral:rRNA from 1 species